rnacentral:rRNA from 1 species
GAUGAACGCUGGCGGCGUGCUUAACACAUGCAAGUCGAGCGAGUGAGUUCUUCGGAACGAUCUAGCGGCGGACGGGUGAGUAACACGUGGGCAACCUGCCUCAUAGAGGGGAAUAGCCUUCCGAAAGGAAGAUUAAUACCGCAUAACAUCGUUGAAGGGCAUCCUUCGAUGAUCAAAGGAGCAAUCCGCUAUGAGAUGGGCCCGCGGCGCAUUAGCUAGUUGGUGAGGUAACGGCUCACCAAGGCGACGAUGCGUAGCCGACCUGAGAGGGUGAUCGGCCACAUUGGGGCUGAGACACGGCCCAGACUCCUACGGGAGGCAGCAGUGGGGAAUAUUGCACAAUGGGGGAAACCCUGAUGCAGCAACGCCGCGUGAGUGAUGACGGCCUUCGGGUUGUACAGCUCUGUCUUUGGGGACGAUAAUGACGGUACCCAAGGAGGAAGUCACGGCUAACUACGUGCCAGCAGCCGCCGUAACAC